GAGCCUCGACGCUCAGCUCCGCUCCUGUUCCGGCGCCGGCGCCGUCGGCCAGGCCCAGAUCCGCUCCCCCUUCGCGAAACGAAGGGGCGAUCACCUGCUGGAUUGCUGCUCCAAGCGGCCGCCGCCGUCUUGGGGGUCAAAGCGAGCGCGCUCGGCCGCUCCAAGCUGCCGCCCGCCGCCGCACGGCUCCUCCCCCGUUCCCGAUCCUUCCUGGAGAGACUGGCGGAAGGGCCAGCCGGGUUGAUCGCGGAGCGCUUGCUCGCCGCCGACGUGGCCGACUACGUCCGCUUCCGCGCCGUGUGCGGCCCGUGGCGCCGCUGCUGCGCCAGCCCGCGCGGCGGCGGCGGCCCGGUUGAUGGCCGCUUCCUCCCCCGGCGGUGGAUCAUGAUCGACAAGGCGUCGCCCGCCGCCGCCACCGCUUCCUCAACGUCGCCACCGGCGAGUGCAUCCACACGGACCUGCCGGAGCUCGCGGAGCACGACCUGCUCAUGGUGACCCCCGAGGGCCUCCUCCUGCUGUUCCGCAAGGACGCCCCCCACGGCGUCCGCCUGCUGAACCCGCUCACCCGCCACCUCACCGAGCUCCCGCCGUUCGCCACGGUCCUGACGCCGGAGCAGCGCAACGACCCCCACCAGGGACUGCGCGGGGAGGAUUUCCGGGUCAGAGGCGUCGCCAUUGCCGACUCCUCCUCCACCUCCACCUCCACCGUGGUAGCGUAUCUCAAAUCCCCCACGACACUCGCCGUCGCCAAGCCCGGCGACAAGCGUUGUACCAAGAUAGACUUCGACCACAGGCUCAUGCUCUACUCGACGGUGCCCUUCGCCGGCCGCAUCUACCAUGCCACCGCCAUUGGUAUCAUGACACCGGAGACCACCACCAGCUCAGAUCAGCCACCGCGCAUGCUGACGGCGGUCGACACGACGAUCGACCCGCCAUUCUCCUUCUGCUCGAUGAGCGACAGCCUUCACCUGGUGGACAAUGGCGGGCGGGAGCUGAUCCUGGUGUACCGAACCGUAAGCCACGACGAAUUCAGGAGGGAGUACGCGGUGUACCGGAUGGAUUUGGACUCCCGGCUGCUGAUUCCGGCGAGGAGCCUGAGCGGCCGCGCCGUGUUCAUCGGAUUGUCUCGGUCGGUGUCGAUUUCUCCGAGCACAUUUCCCUCCGUCACCGGUGAUACGGUCUACCUGGGUUUCGACUGCGGCGAAAGAACGAAAAUCAGCGGGUACCAUGUUGGGGAUGGAAGCAUCGAACAUUCCCAGUUGAUCAAGCAUGCGUCGUGGUUUAAGCCGUCUACUCUCGUGGACUGCCUCUCCUGGUGCAUCAAGAGCAACGGCAAGCAACUUGGUUGAGUCCUGAGCUGACCACUUGAUCACGACAUCUCUAUUCCCUUGAGACCCUCGAUCCUUCAAAUCCUGGCAUUUGAAACAGAUGGAAUUUUGUGGCUCGCCCCUGCAGGAUAGAUUAUGGACAGCUUGAACGUUCACCGACCGUGUGGAUUAGCCAUUGAUUAGCUACGGACACGGGACUAUAAAAACACAGAGGUAGAAAAAAGCAUGAAUAAAACGUAAUGCUCAAUGGAUUCCUAUAAAAUUUCAAAACACAUGAAAGUUUCAUAAAACUAGCGGGAAUACAUAAAAAACGUAGGAACGCAAAGACAUCAGAAGAAGAAAAUAUGAGGUAAGACCUCAUGCUUAUUUACCCUCAAAAUUGCACUACAAUAGCUCAUCCCAUAAGAAUUUCAAAGGAAUUGGUAAAAGCAAAUACUCCCACCGUUUCAUAAUAUAAGACUUUCUAGCAUUGCUCACAUUUAUAUAGAUAUUAAUGAAUCUAGACACACAUAUAUAUUUAGAUUCAUUAAUAUUUAUAUGAAUGUGAACAAUGCUAGAAAGACUUACAUUCUGAAACGGAGGAAAUACUUUGUUUUAAAGGACUUCGUAUAAUUAUUUUCUAUAAGAUACAAAUUCUAUGGAUUUCCUAUGUUAUUCCUUUCCCAAAUAUUCUUAUGGCAAGCACAAAGCAACCGUAGCAGCUAUUUAGAAAU